UAUAAGAGAAAAUAUUCCCCCCGUAACAUCUUUUUGUUUCGUCACUUCCCACCAUAUCUGAAAGGUUGAAAGAGAAGGGUUCGAGAGGCCCUAAAGAAAAUUGCUUCCAACAUUGUUUAUAAGAUACAAUUGGUUCGAGCAUUUUGAAAUGGCAAACCAGCGUUGACUUCAGAAUGCUUUCCGCUAUCAAAUAUUUUCUAAAGGAUGUUUUGGGGAGUGGAAAAGAUUAGCUUCGAGCAAAAGGAUACAACUGCAUGGGAUCUGCAAUGAAGAGUGUAAAAGCUGGGCCAUUUACCAGUCUCGGAAGGCAAAGCUAUUGAAGAGAACAAAGAAAAUACAAAUAGAGAACUUAAGGUGCAGAAACCUUCAAAAGAACUCACAUGCUACAUAGAUUAAUGGGGAGGUCAAGGUUACAAAAUGAGUCACAAAAUCAGAAGAGUAUUUGAAGGGUGUUAAACCCGCCAUGUAUUAGAAAAUAAAUCUGUAGCUAAGGGGAGUAAAUGGGGGUUUUUUAGUAGAUGCUUGUUUCAAUUGUUUAAUGUGUUUAAAACAUUUUCAUGAUACAUACAUUCAAAUUUGUUAAGUUCAUUUCUAGGACGCACGUUUGAGCAAUUUUCUCAUAGUUAAUGUAGUACAUGAUAUAUCUAUAUACUUUGGAAGUUCAUAGCAAGUGUACUCGUUUGAAUUUUUUUUGUUAUUUGUAGUGCUUGAGAACUUCAU